GCGAGAUUAGUAUAAUGGCAGUACGUUAGCUUCCCAAGCUGAUAGCACGAGUUCGAUUCUCGUAUCUCGCUCCC
rnacentral:tRNA from 1 species